rnacentral:rRNA from 1 species
UACGGAGGGUGCAAGCGUUAUCCGGAUUCACUGGGUUUAAAGGGUGCGUAGGAGGGCAGGUAAGUCAGUGGUGAAAUCCCCGAGCUUAACUUGGGAACUGCCGUUGAUACUAUCUGUCUUGAAUAUUGUGGAGGUAAGCGGAAUAUGUCAUGUAGCGGUGAAAUGCUUAGAUAUCGGGAGGAACACCAGUGGCGAAGGCGACUUCCUGGCCUGUUCUUGACGCUGAGGCGCGAAAGCUAGGGGAGCAAACGGG